UUAGCCUCAUCAAUUCAGCUACAAUUUUCAGUUCAGAUGCAGACAGGGGACUGAACGUGACCAGACCUGGAGCUUUGGGCUUGCUGCUUGCCAGCGAUUGAGGCCGUCUCCUGCGAGGAGGUGAAGGGGGGUAGGAGAGGGGACAGGCCGACCCGACCGCCUCCCCUCUCCCCCGCCCCCCUCUCCUGUCUGCUUUACAAUCCAGGGGUCUGCAGUGGAGCCCCCUGAGAGCACCACAUCUGGAUACUGCUAGCGGGGUCAGGUCCCCCUAUGCCUAGGGCCACAAGAACUGGAGUUCAAUUAAAAGAAAUCAUGGUUAACCCCUUGCUGUCCUUGUCCCUCUGCCUCCUUCUUCCACUCCCCCUCUGGCACGACCACAUUGUAGGCACUAGCUCCAGCAAAAAGGGCGAGCUGCAAGGGAAGCAUAGGACGUAUCCCUUUUAACCUCCCCAUAAUUUCCUUUCCAUACCAGCCUCCAAACACAAGCAGCGGUGGGAGGACCCCCAACACUAGAAAGACCUUUUGGUCUCGAAGCUGCAUUAUCCAACUGUUCUCUUUUGAUGGGCUGAGGGUGGAGGGAUGGGAUCUGAUGGCUCCAUAAACUGGAGCGAAAACAAUACCCGCUAAAACGUCCCACGUGCGUUAAAACCGAGCUGCAAAUGGCAAUUUAUUCCCGGCCUCUGCGCUGUCCUAGAGACGCUCUUGGCAAAACCCGCUUUUGAUCCCCAGUUCCUUCACAAGCACAAGGGUGUUAGAAACCAAGGACGCACACCUCCGAGUUGCUUACUGUAUUGCAAAAAAAAAAAGUGAACUAUGACCCCGAAGCCAUUACUUUAAACUUCACUCUAAAAAUUAAGCACGUUAUAUAUUGCAUCUAUCGUGUAUAAACAGUGCUUCUCUUCCCCCCUCCCGUGUUGGGUCGAAAGAGUUUCGUGAAACCCCAGGAGACAAGGUAAUAAGUGAACUUGCAGCAUUAUAGCAGAAAGGCUGAACAAGAUCUUCCGCCUCAAGCUGCAUCUGCAAAAGCCAGGGAUUGAUCUGCUGCAGUUAUCAUACGGGAACAAGCUCCCACUACCCUCACUGGGAGCUUUGAAACUGAAACUGGGUUCCGAGGUGGCACUAACUCCACUGCAGAGAAAAGAAAAGACAACGUGUUUUAAAGUGUGGGGCUCCCAAGCAAAGCAUGAAACCCAAACCUAGGGCAUGCUCCCAAGGCAGGGCUCAAAGCAAGGCACCAACGCUCUGCUCGCAGCUGCAAUGAUAAAACCUGACUAGCUGGAGCCCUGCCAGCUUUGCAGCAAGGCAGGGGACUGCAGGAUCCGUUCCCCUGCUCCCUAUGUCUGGGUCUGUAGAGAGAAAUCUUUGAUAGUGCAAGUUCCCAAAAAGUUAUGUAAUGCUAAUAAAUACUCAAAUGAAA